CAUCUACUCCCUUCGUUCGAAAUUACUUGUCUCGAAAAUGGAUGUAUCUAGAACUAAAAUACAUUUAGAUACAUCUAUUUCUGCGACAAGUAAUUCCGAACGGAGGGAGUACGUG
rnacentral:pre_miRNA from 1 species